AUGGCGUCCUUGACAAAUCUCAUCAUACUACUACCACUUCUCUUGCUCGCCACCUUCUCUCCUACACCAUCCCUGUGCUAUGUCGGUCCAUCUGUUGCAAGGGUACAUGAGGGUGCUACACAAGCAUCUGCCUACCGCACUUACAUUGUGCUCGUCAAGCCACCUCCCUCAGGUACCAACGAAGAGGGGCAUCGUCGGUGGUACGAGACUUUCUUGCCGAGCUCACACAUCGGCGAAUCUGGGGAGCCGCGUCUCCUCCACUCCUACAUCGAGGUGUUCAGCGGCUUCGCGGCGAGGCUCACAGAGGCUGAGCUCGACGCGGUCACCAAGAAGCCAGGGUUCGUGCGCGCGUUCCCAGACCGGACGCUGCAGCUCAUGACCACGCACACGCCGGAGUUCCUCGGGCUGAGGAACGGCACCGGAUUUUGGAGCGACGCAGGCUACGGGAAGGGAGUGGUCAUCGGGCUGCUCGACACCGGGAUCUAUGCAACACAUCCUUCGUUCGACGAUCAUGGUGUCCAAUCACCCCCGACAAGGUGGAGGAGCUCGUGCAAGGCGGUCAGGUGCAACAACAAGCUCAUCGGUGCCAACUCAUUUACUGGAGAUGACGACUCGUACGAUUACGUGGGGCACGGAACACACACCUCGUCCACUGCCGCCGGCAACUUCGUCACCGAUGCGUCAGACCAUGGCGUGGGCACGGGCACUGCUUCCGGAAUUGCUCCAGGUGCCCACAUCGCCAUGUACAAGGUGUGCACCGCCGAGGGCUGCCAAGAAUCCGCCGUACUGGCCGGCCUGGAUGCGGCCAUCAAGGAUGGGGUGGACAUGCUCUCGCUAUCUCUCAGCAGUCUCGCCGGUGUCAGCUUCAAUAAGGACCCCAUCGCCAUCGGUGCGUUCAGUGCUAUAUCCAAGGGCAUCAUUGUGGUGUGUGCGGCUGGCAACAAAGGUCCCACUCCACGGUCGGUCUCCAACAGUGCACCGUGGUUGCUCACGGUUGCCGCUGGCUCAGUGGACCGGAGAUUCGACGCUGGCGUGCAUCUCGGCAACGGCAAGCGCAUGGACGGAGAAGCAUUUACCCCAGCGAUAAAGCCAACCUCAAAGCCAUACCCUCUCUUCUACUCCGAGGAACAUCGUUUCUGCCAGAAUGCGUAUUACGGUUCAGUUGCCGGGAAAAUAAUUGUUUGUCAGUCCACAACACCCAUGGCUCGCUAUUCUGACAUUUCGAGGUUAAUGGGUCAUGGUGCGGCUGGCGUGGUUCUUUUCAAUGACAAAGCCACUGGCUACACCAUUAUUCUUCAGGAUUUCGACGAAGCGAGAGUGGUGCAGGUGACCUUCGCCGACGGCAUCGCCCUCGCAGCUUACACGAAGUCAGCAUCGAACGACGCCGUUGCCACUUUCACAUACAACAACACAGUGUUGGGUGUUCGUCCGAACCCGGUCGUGGCAUCGUUCUCUUCCCGGGGUCCAAGCUCAGUCGCUCCAGGUGUGCUCAAGCCAGACAUUCUUGCGCCCGGGCUCAACAUCCUUGCGGCGUGGCCAAGUCCCCCUUUCAAAAUCAUAUCGGGCACGUCCAUGGCAACGCCACAUGUCAGUGGUGUUGCGGCGCUUAUCAAAAGCUUGCAUCCUGAAUGGUCACCGGCUGCCAUCAAGUCGGCCAUCCUGACAACGUCGGACACCACCAACAACAUCGGCGGCUCGAUCUUGAACGAGAGGCAUGAUAAAGCCAGUGCGUACGAUAGAGGCGCCGGCCAUGUGAACCCGGCGAGGGCUGCUGACCCAGGUUUGGUGUAUGACCUCGGUGUAACCGACUAUGCAGGUUACAUCUGCUGGCUCCUUGGCGAGGAAGGCUUGGUGACCAUCGUACGCAACUCGAGCCUGACCUGCGCGAAGCUGCCCAAGGUCAAGGACGUUCAGCUCAACUACCCUACUCUAACUGUGCCGCUAGCAUCAACGCCGUUCACCGUGACCCGGACGGUGACGAACGUUGGGCCGGCAGAUUCUACAUACGCUGCUAAGGUAAACUCGCCAAGCUCUAUGACAUUGCAUGUCUCCCCAAAGACACUGGUGUUCUCCAAGGCUGGAGAAAAGAAGACGUUCAGCGUGACGGUGAGCUGCCAAGGCGUGGGUGCAUCGGAAAUCUUUGUGGAGGGAAGCUUGAGCUGGGUGUCGAAAAUGCAUGUUGUGCGUAGUCCCAUUGUCGCCAUCCACGGAGUGGGAGGUCAUGCUUCCGCUCCAUCACCAUGA
rnacentral:rRNA from 1 species